rnacentral:rRNA from 1 species
AUGGUGGAGCAGAAUAAGGUGGUGUUGGAGAAUAAGACGUUCAUCCACCAACCAGUGCUUGCACCACACGCCAAGGGGUUUUGGACCCCUGAUGAGCACAGGCUCUUUCUCCAUGGCUUGAGCGUAUGUGGCCGUGGCAAAUGGAAGGACAUCUCAAAGCACUUCGUCACUAGUAGGACUCCGACCCAGAUUUCAAGCCAUGCACAGAAGUACUUCAUGAGGCUAAAGAGCAAAGGGUCAGGAAGCCAACGCUACAGCAUCAACGACGUGGAGCUCGAUGAUGCUAACCCAUGGAAAAUGGAGAAUAGCUUUAACUUCUGGCAAGCACUUGCCUUGCAAUCUACAAUUGGUGCUGAUAACCAAAAUCCAAGCUUCAAUCUACAGACUCCUUCGAGUCCAUUUGUCACCAUGAACAAUAUACCCUAG